AGAGUUUGAUCAUGGCUCAGAACUAACGCUGGCGGCGUGCCUAAUACAUGCAAGUCGAGCGCGAAAGUCCUUCGGGAUGAGUAGAGCGGCGCACGGGUGAGUAACACGUGGGUAAUCUGCCUAGAGAUGGGGAAUAACUCCUCGAAAGAGGAGCUAAUACCGCAUAAGACCACAGUCACUACGGUGACAGGGGUUAAAGGUGACCUCUAUUUAUAAGUUAUCGUCUCUAGAUGAGCCUGCGCAGCAUUAGCUAGUUGGUGGGGUAACGGCCCACCAAGGCUACGAUGCUUAGCUGGUCUGAGAGGAUGAUCAGCCACACUGGAACUGAGACACGGUCCAGACUCCUACGGGAGGCAGCAGUAGGGAAUAUUGCUCAAUGGGGGAAACCCUGAAGCAGCAACGCCGCGUGAGUGAUGAAGGCCUUCGGGUCGUAAAGCUCUGUUGUACGGGAAGAACGCGGGUGUAGCUAACAUCUACAUCCGGUGACGGUACCGUAUAAGAAAGGACCGGCUAACUUCGUGCCAGCAGCCGCGGUAAGACGGGGGGUCCAAGCGUUGUUCGGAAUUAUUGGGCGUAAAGCGUGUGCAGGUGGUUUGGAAAGUUGGAUGUGAAAGCCCCGGGCUUAACUCGGGAAGUGCAUUCAGAACUCCCAAACUUGAGUAAGGAAGAGGGUCGUGGAAUUCCUGGUGUAGUGGUGAAAUACGUAGAUAUCAGGAGGAACACCGGCGGCGAAGGCGGCGACCUGGUCCUAUACUGACACUCAUACACGAAAGCGUGGGGAUCAAACAGGAUUAGAUACCCUAGUAGUCC
rnacentral:rRNA from 1 species